rnacentral:tRNA from 1 species
UGCCGGAUCGUCUAAUGGUAGGACACAGGCCUUUGAAGCCUGGUAUCCUGGUUCGAGUCCAGGUCCGGCAG